rnacentral:rRNA from 1 species
GGACUAGCAAUCCCAUAAACCGUGGCUCAGUUCAGAUCGUAGGCUGCAACUCGCCUACGUGAAGCAGGAAUCGCUAGUAAUCGCAGGUCAGCAUACUGCGGUGAAUACGUUCCCGGGCCUUGUACACACCGCCCGUCACACCAUGGAAGUUGGCCAUGCCCGAAGUCGUUACUCCAACCCUUGUGGAGGAGGACGCCGAAGGUGGGGCUAAUGACUGGGGUGAAGUCGUAACAAGGUAGCCGUACCGGAAGGUGCGGCUGGAUCACCUCCUAA